CGUUUGAGCAAUGGAGGGACGCAGAAGGAUAGAAGAAGCGUGCGAUUGGUUGUGCACGUCCAAGCAGUUAGGCUGAUAAGUAGGCAAAUCCGCUUAUCGUGAAGGCUGAGCUGUGAUGGGGAAGCUCCUUAUGGAGCGAAGUCUUUGAUUCCCCGCUGCCAAGAAAAGCUUCUAGCGAGAUAAAAGGUGCCUGUACCGCA
rnacentral:rRNA from 1 species